GAGUUUGAUCUUGGCUCAGGACGAACGCUGGCGGCGCGCCUAACACAUGCAAGUCGAACGGAGACAAUUAGGAGCUUGCUUUUGAUUGUCUUAGUGGCGGACGGGUGAGUAACACGUGAGCAACCUGCCUUUCAGAGGGGGAUAACGUUUGGAAACGAACGCUAAUACCGCAUGAUAUAUCGGUACCGCAUGGCACUGAUAUCAAAGGAGCAAAUCCGCUGAAAGAUGGGGCUCGCGUCCGAUUAGCUAGAUGGCGGGGUAACGGCCCACCAUGGCGACGAUCGGUAGCCGGACUGAGAGGUUGAUCGGCCACAAUGGAACUGAGACACGGUCCAUACUCCUACGGGAGGCAGCAGUGGGGAAUAUUGCACAAUGGGGGAAACCCUGAUGCAGCAACGCCGCGUGAGUGAAGAAGGUUUUCGA
rnacentral:rRNA from 1 species